AGAGAGAGAGAGAGACAGAGAGAGAGAGACAGAGAGACAGAGAGAGAGAGAGAGAGACAGAGAGAGAGAGAGAGAGAGAGAGAGAGAGACACAGAGAGAGAGAGAG